CUUCAACUUUUUCAGCACAGCGCUCCUUGGCUUUCUCCCUCAUCAUCUUGGGGAUUAGGACAUCUGUUUCCACAUGCCUAAGGUGGAUCUCCUCUGUGGAAGCAGGGCAAAAAGAAAGACAGAUACACAGAAUACACAAUAACAAAAAUCUGUUGUUUGGACCAAAUGGCAUGAGUGGAACAGUGAAAGAAUACUCCGCUGAAAGUACAUCGACAUCCAACCACAAUGUAUCUGAGCCUGCACCAACAGACUGCAUGUUGAGCACAGUAAGCCUGACCACAGUCAGUUGUGUGGUGGACUGGCUGUCUAGAUCCCAUGCAAAGAGGCCCCACUUGUUCAGUCAAAGCGACAGAGCAGAUUCUGGAAGGUCAGCCUUUAAAGAUGGAGAUCUUAACACCUAAGAUGAGACAGCAAUGGAUGGAGGAGGCCUUCUUCAGGAGGCAUCCUGGGGCUUUUGCGGCGAGGCAAACAGGAACGAGGGAGAGCAUUCAGCCCUUCUUGUGUUUCUCCCAUUCAUUAAGGCAGCAAACCUUUGACCAUUCUACAAUGACCAGAGUUUUCCCUCAUUACAUGGUCCAUCUUGAUGAAAAGAUGAAGAGGACAGAGACGAGGACAACAAGGAGAGCAGAAAUGAAGACCACACCAUUUGAAUAGGAGUUUGGUAUAGAAUCCACUAGCACUAAACAACACCAAAGAGAACAUCUUGUCUUUUGAUCAAGUUUUUUUCUCCAUCUCUCUCCCCUUUCUCUGUCCUUUUUUUCUAGCAUAUGAUCCUCUCUAGGCUUCAGUAGCCAUAUUGCCUACACUGCACUGAGUGUCUGAAUGCAGUUAAUUAUCUAAAAGGAAAAGUUUGUACCUGUUGAAAAGCUAUCCUUGGUUUGCGUGGCUUGUUAAUGCCAACAAAAAGCAGCCAUAGCAGAUGGUCAGAGGACACCACAUGCUGCGGGAGCCUUUCAGACAUGUCCCUAAUAAGAAUGCAGUGGUGAGAGCUCCACUGAAUGCAUGCAGGGGAGAGGAAGAUAGGUAGGAAGGAGAAAAGAAAUGAAAGGGGAAAAAACAUCUUUUACCUCUCCAUCUAUAAUUACUCCAAAUGAAGAAUAGGCUGAAGAAAUGGCCGGGGAGACUUUCCAUUAUGAGAGAAAAAAAACCCCAUCAAGUAAAGAAGGCAGAGCACAAGAUCGAUAGUUUUUAAUGGAUAAAAGAGAAGUUUUUAUAACAUCUCAGAAGUAACGACAUAUGUGCAUCUGCGUGUGUAUGUGUGUGUGAGAGUGUGCUUAUGUGUGUGCUCAAGUAAAAUCACUUUUGUGACUUUUAAAUAUACAAAAGCACUGUCCCGACGCCAUUACCUCUUCACUCUAUCAGUCCUUCAGUAUAGUCAUGCUACAGAUACAGCUGUCUGAAACUUUGCUUUUUUGCAUGCAAUGCUUGGAGAUCUAGCCAUCACAUUAUCACAGACACAUUCUUCUCUCUGUUCUCUUCUUCACUUUAUCUAAUAAAAUGAAUCCCUGAAGCUAGAGGGGUGCCUCCUCUUUCCUCUCUUUCAGCAUUAGACAGAGAUGUUGCUGUCUGUUGGGCUGACAGCAAUCUGUGUGUGUGUGUGUGUGUGUGUGUGAGAGAGAGAGAGAGAGAGAGAGAGAGAGAGAGAGAGAGACCUGCUGACCUGGGAGGACCUGUCAUCUCAUGCUGUAAAUGGCCUGUAAAUGUUUUCACACUUUCACAUGGGGAGUCGUGUGUGGUGAAGCUUUGGGAGAGGUAAAGCUUGGCCAGCAGUAUACAUCUUGUCAUUAGACCCUUCACACCUUAAAAAGUUACACAAAUACACACAACACACACACACAGGGAAACACACACAAUGUGCAAGGUGUUGCACAAACCAGAAAUAUGUUAAAAUGUCAAUGUGCACAUGUUCACACUAGUGGACGCAAGAAUUUGGCUCUACACACAUUAAAUAUACCUCCUUUCUAGUAGCCCAAUUUGCUCAGCUUCUAUGCCACCAGCAGAAUAUGAAUGGGCUAUUGUCUGAGUUUUAUUUGUUGAUGAUUGUCUCUGAGAAGGUGACUAGCACUGAAUGUUUGUGAGCAAUUGACAGUGCUUUUAUAGGAUCAGUAGGUGUGUGUAUGUCUAUAAUAAGUUGCACUAAAAAUGGUGAAAAAUACACCUCACAAAGGAUGAUGCAAAUCAGGACCCUAUCUAAAAGCAGAAUGUUUAUUCAAUAUAGAUGGUUGAUUCAAAGCUCUGUGCAUGUGUGUGUGUGUGUGUGUGUGUGUGUGCAUGUGAUAGAGACGGAGACAAGAGUGGGGGUACGGAAGAACACAAGCCUCACACAGGGGAUAGGUGCUAAAAUAUACAGUGAGAAAAACUCAGUGAGAAUGUGACAGCUGAGCAAUAGGGAGGAAUGGGACGAGUAUGGAGGAGUUGUGUUAUGUAGACAAUAACAAUCUAUUUUUUACUAUCAGUAGUGGUAUAUAUUUUCACCAGAAAACCAAUGUUUUUUGAAAUGUUUUCUCUGGUGAUUUUUGUUUUGCUCUGAAAGUACUGUCGAGGGCAUAUUAUUCAUCUUUGAAAUCUGUUCUACCAAGUGUAGACCUACAGUAUAAUCAUAGGAAAAAUGUGAGGGUAUAUUAAAAUAUGAAAAGCAAAUGCAAUGUACUGCAUAAAAUUUCACUUAUAUUGCUUAACUUUUUAGAAAACUUCCAUACUUCAUAUUGUCUUGCAAGUUUCUCCGGCACUCCUAAAUUAUGCAUACACAUACACAUUAGCCUACACAUACACACACACAGCACCAGGAGCAAGGAAGCAGCCUCUCAAUUAUCAAUCUCUCUCCACUCCUCUCAACACCUCAUGUUUCUCUGUUAAUGACUGGAUUAAGGCUCUGAUUAAGAUGCACUUAACCCAUAAACAGCAGUCCCCAUUCACAUAACAUCGAAAAGCCAAUUAAAACAAGCUGGGACUUCAAUUAAGACUGACAAAGGCCAGACAACAUCAGGGGUUUUGUGGGUGAGGGGGGAGCAGGGACGAGUGUGUCACCUAAGUCUAUGCCAAGAGGAAAGAUUUGGGUCAGAACAUAAAAGUAGUAUUGUCAGAUUCUGGGGUGAUAAUACUUUACCUCAGUUGAGAGGAGCAAUAUGUUUUACGUUUCUUUUUUUUUUUUUAA